rnacentral:rRNA from 1 species
AUACGGAGGGUGCAAGCGUUAAUCGGAAUUACUGGGCGUAAAGAGUACGUAGGUGGUUUAUUAAGUCAGAUGUGAAAGCCCCGGGCUCAACCUGGGAACUGCAUUUGAAACUAGUAAACUAGAGUAUGGUAGAGGGGGGUAGAAUUUCUAGUGUAGCGGUGAAAUGCGUAGAUAUUAGAAGGAAUACCAGUGGCGAAGGCGGCCCCCUGGACCAAUACUGACACUGAGGUACGAAAGCGUGGGUAGCGAACAGGAUUAGAUACCCUAGUAGUCC